rnacentral:lncRNA from 1 species
CCUCCCACCAGCCUGAGGGCGGGACGCUGAGGACCCCAGAGCCCUGCCUCCAGGCUGCUGUCGUAGUGUGACACAGCAACUUCCGAGCAGGAAGGAGAAGCCCGAUCCUAACUGGGGGAAGCUGUUUGCUUAGACAACUUUCUACACUUCAAAUAUUACACCUUAAACAACACACUGGACUAAGAAAUCUGAUCAUGUCCAGGCUUUUAACACCCUCCUCCCCCAAGGAACAAUAAAACACACCAGCGAAAACAAAGAGGCUGCCCUGAAAAGGUUGCAGUGGUGGAUGAUACUGGCAGAAUCAGAAAGGAAGCUAAGAGAAACAGGCGCGUCCUCAGCCGGGCCUCGCGUGUCCUGACACUGCAGCAGGCACGGGAUGUGGGCUGUCCCCUCCAGCACAGUGCGGGAAGGUGCUGGGGCAUCCAAACAGCAAAAGCAAACCUGAGACCCCAAAACAACUGCGUCUGGCCCAGGGGAGUGGGCAAAAAUUCCAACAGGGAGAGACCGUCUCUGGCUUAUUUACAGACAGGGUAAGUAAGGAUGCCCAAAGACAAGGCGGAGUAUUAGUAACAGAACUCAUGAAGUUCUAUGGAUCGGGAUGCUUUAAAAAAAAAAAAAAAACACCAAAGCUCAUCCAGAAUGUCUGAGGUCCCUGCAGUAACAUCCAUGCUAAUUGAAGAAAGCUAUUAGUGCUCCAUGUAAACAAGCACGCCCAAUUCAAGUUGGAACUCUUUAAAUUCUGGAAGACAGCACAUCACAUCCAGCCACGAGGGGGCGCAGCCGAGCAGCAAGGAGCGCAAAAGUCUCAUUCUUCACUGCAAUUUCUACCUACAGCUCUCUCAAAGUAUACACAUUUUCAAGAUUGUUUCCAAAUUCAGGUAUCCACAGGACACUGCUAAGCAAGCUGGGAGCUUUGCCAAGGCCAAAAUAAAUUAAAUUAUGGUACGGUUCAAACUCUGGAAGUACUGUGUAUAGGAAAGGUUGUUUCUCUGUAUAUAAAAGUUAAUACUGGUAUUUCAAAAACCAUGGUUAAAAUCCCUGGAGGAUUCCUGAAAUGAGAACAAACACACAACAACAAACACACACCCAAGUCAUGAGAUGUGAACGUGGAGAAACCAACAGUUCAGAAUUUCCAGUGGGGCUUGCAACAUGGACUCCCAAUAAAACAAUGAGUCUCAAUAAAUUCGGCACUAAGCUUUUACCAGUAUAGAUAGACGCCUUUACUGGGCCUACUUACUACUUCUUAAUAACUAUAAAUUAUCUCCAUACUGAACAGAUACUGCUUCAGGCAGUUAUUUGGGAAAACCCUUCAUAAAGGACAUUGGAGAGGGGCCAUUUAAUUAUAAAAUGUAACACAGUUAACCUUAGGGAGAUGAUGAAGCGAGAUCAUUAUGUGUAACUACUUGCUGGGAUUCUUUCUAUUUAAAUUAUAAGUUCAGGUUAUAUGAUGUUGUAUGUUCAAUAAUAAUGCUCAUAAUAGAUGAAAUGUUAUAAUGAGUCUCCACAUUUGAAAAUUGGAAACUAUAAACAUAUCUAUAUUUUAUAAUCAUUUGAAUUGUGAUACUACUUCAUAAUAAUUUGGUGUCAGAGUAUGUUUUUAGCAUUUUGAGUCUAAGGCCUCAUUAACAUUAGGGUAAGGAACUCUCAGAUUUGACAAUUUUUCCCAUAAGAUUACGUGCUUUACUAGUAAAGACUAGCCAGCAUUGCCCAACCUCCCAUUCUCGGGCAUAAUGAAAAUAUUUUUUCUCCUGUAUUUAUAAUUGCUUGGAUGGGAUUCUGUUUCAAUCCUCCUGUAGCAUCUUUUCCCUAAAGAUACACUGUUUUUCUCCCUCACACUAGAGACCCUUAAUAAACAAUGUCAAGGAGGUGGGGAACUUAGAGUAGAAAGGAAAGGCUUUGCCAAAAGUAUGUGACAGUUUUUGUGUUUAAAAAAAAAAAAAAA